rnacentral:rRNA from 1 species
UACAGAGGUCUCAAGCGUUGUUCGGAUUCAUAGGGCGUAAAGGGCGCGUAGGCUGCGGGGCAAGUCGGGUGUGAAAUCUCAGAGCUCAACUCUGAAACUGCACUCGAUACUGCUUUGCUUGAGGACUGGAGAGGAGAUUGGAAUUCACGGUGUAGCAGUGAAAUGCGUAGAUAUCGUGAGGAAGACCAGUGGCGAAGGCGGAUCUCUGGACAGUUCCUGACGCUGAGGCGCGAAGGCCAGGGGAGCAAACGGG